rnacentral:rRNA from 1 species
CACGUAGUUAGCCGUCCCUUUCUGGUAAGUUACCGUCACUGUGUGAACUUUCCACUCUCACACACGUUCUUCUCUUACAACAGAGCUUUACGAUCCGAAAACCUUCUUCACUCACGCGGCGUUGCUCGGUCAGGGUUGCCCCCAUUGCCGAAGAUUCCCUA